CUGGCCUGUGAGAGUCCCUGUUUUCCUGGUUUUUCCCUUUCACCCAAUAAAACCCUGCUUCACUCACCCUUCAAACUGCCUGUGAGCCUAAAUUUUCAUGGCUGUGGGACGAACAAGGACCCCACCUUGAGCUCAACUAAGGAAAAGUCCUCCAACAGUUUUGGCAUGCAACGUGGAACCUCCAGAAGAGGGUCUGCCAGACAGACCCCUGCAGCUGGUGCGCCGUGUGAGGAACGCUGGGAAGGAAGCACAACAAGCCCCCAAAAACAAGUGAAAAGGACCGCGUGGUCAGUGAGUAAUCACAUGGCACAUCAAACCACACCAUGGCGUGCCUAGGACCCAACCUGGUACCAGAAAUGAAGGAACUGACCCUACAGGACCCCGCAGCCCUGGACAACGCGGCUUCCACGGACGACACAAGCCUCAAAUAUCACCUGAUGCUGAAGAGGAUAACUCAGAAGGCUGAACGAAUUCUACUCCAGACACAGACAUCAUUUACUCCAAAUAAUUUGUUCCUAGCUAUGCUUUCUGUUGAAUAUUGCAACUCACGUAGGGUAUCGAUCCUUUAUAUGCUCUCCCUUUGUCUGCAACCUGUACCUGCUACACUCUAUUGGGCUCACAUCUUAGAUCUGCCUUUCUUUCGCCCUGUCACCUGGGCAGACACCCGCUUCCCAGCCUAUAAUAACGUGACUGCUUGGCUAGGAGGGAUAGAUUUACCCCCAGUGGGGUCCCUCAAUAAUGGCACACAUUGGACUAAGGUGCCAGAUAGCCUAUAAUAACAUGACUGCUUGGCUAGGAGGGAUAGAUUUACCCCCAGUGGGGUCCCUCAAUAAUGGCACACAUUGGACUAAGGUGCCAGAUAACACUACAUAUAACUCCACUAUUCUCCCACUGUAUGUAAAUUAGAAAGGUUUUAACCCUUACUGUGCAUCUCUGCCCAAACACAAUUAUGGCUAAAUCAUGGCAAAGAAAAUGCCUUAACAGCCUUAGCUGCAGGUGGCCUCAAACCAGGUAAUACAAUCAAUGCCGCUUUCCCAAACAUUCCUUCCUGUGCUAAAGGACAAAGCCGGGAAAGUAAUGGAUUUCACUUUAGCUGGCACGUCUGUCAUGGGGGACAAGCCCGUGGCCUCCAGUGAGGCAAUUAUAACAUCUUAGACUGGAGCCCCCACAGCCAUUUGCAGGGCAGCCUUACUAAUGUCCUCACCUGUCAUGGCUCAAUCAGCAUUUCAUUGCCAUGUCCCAUUCCCCUAUGAUUUGGGCCGAUGGGGGGAUGGGAUAUCCCAGACCCCAAGUAAAGUCCAUGCCACCCCAAGACACUUCAUGGCACCUGGGACAUCUUGGCACCUCCCUUAACACCUGGCAUGGGACAUAUCAUAAUUCCAGUAAUGACUACACUAUGACCUUUAUUCACAAUCACACACAUCAGUGCCUAAUUUGCACUAUUCAUCCAUAUGUUUUCCUUAAGGGAACCAAUAUUUCUAUUUCACCCCAAUACUCCACGUUUGUGACCCAGGUGCAAGAACAGGCUUGGUUCGCCUCAUGUAUCACUAAUUACAAUAUAUUACAAUAUAUCUGUUCGAAAUAUUACUAGUGUCAUGGUAUUAAGGAGAUAAUCUGAGGCAUUCCUACCAGUCAAUUUGACACGUGAUUGGCAAGAUUCCUCUGCCCCUGCCACCUUAGAAUGUGCCUGUCAGACACAAAAGAUUCAUAGUUACACUUAUGGCCUUUAUAGUCUCAGCCACAAUCAUCCUGGCAACUGCUUGCCUUGCUGUGGCAUCUAUUACUGAAUCAGUACAAACAGCUGCUUUUGUAGGUAAUCUGGCCAAAAAUGUGUCUAAUGAACCUCUUACGGCAAGGUAUAGAUAAAAAAAUUCUUGCACGUCUGCAAGCCCUCGAGGCUGCUUUGGAAUAUGUUGGGGAGCGACAAGAUGCACUAACAUUCUGAUAGCAAUUAAAAUGAAACUAGUAGCAUAAACAUAAUCUGUGUCACUUCUCUACCAUGGAAUCAAUCAAUCCAUAGUUGGGAUGAGGUGAAACAACACCUCUGGGGAACCUUUCAUGACAAUUUAACAGCAGACGUAAAGCAAAUUAAAACUAAAAUUUUAGAAUCCGUUCACACUAUAGAUCUACACAGCCAAUAAACAGCCAUAUGGAAGGGUAUGCCAGAUC